CGGGUGUGUUUAUUUGCUUCUCUCUGAAUCUGAUUCUGCUGCUGAUUCCGAACAAUUUUGCAAUAGAUUAAUUCAGGAGUAGAUCCGAGUGGCCAUAAGAUCCAGCGGAAAUAAUAUAAGAACAGCUGUGGAAAAAUGCUGCUCCGCACGGCUCAUCGAAAAACGUCUGGAACCAGCAGAAGCAAAAUUGAGGAGGGAUCUAGCUACAGGGUUCCGGUCGGCAUAUUGAUGGCAGUAGAGAGGGCCACCAUAAAAAUCGACAGUCGAAUCCUUUCCCAGUAUGGAUCUUAUCUUGAUCAUUUGCUAAAAGAUGAGGUUCCAGGUGUAGAUUAGAUAGAUAAAGCCAGCUUUAAUUAGACCUGGAUCUGUUCCAUGAACAGGCUAGUAGUAUUGGAGAGAGCUGUUCCGGAAAAUUUUCAACGGAAGUGCGAGUGCGAAGUGAGCUUUGAUCAUUUUGAAUUUCUGGAGUAAAAACAUCGAUUUACAUUUUCGUCAACAUCUUUCCUAAAUAGAGAUUUCAGAUCGAGCCGCGGUGCAAAGGAAACCAUUCUGACUGAAGCUUUGUGUUAAUGCAUCUCAACAAGUAUUACCGGAAUCAAUUGAAUAUAAUACAUUUCAUGUUUCGCAUACUUUAUUAAACUAAUAAAUUGGUGCAAUUGAUAAAAGCAGA